rnacentral:rRNA from 1 species
CCUACGGGAGGCAGCAGUGAGGGACAUUGGUCAAUGGCCGGAAGGCUGAACCAGCCAAGCCGCGUGAAGGACGAAGGUUCCAAGCAUUGUAAACUUCUUUUGUCAAGGGACAAAAUCAGGCUCGAGAGCCUGACCGAGGGUACUUGAAGAAAAAGCAUCGGCUAACUCCAUGCCAGCCGCCGCGGUAAUACGGAGGAUGCGAGCGUUAUCCGUGUUUAUUGGGUUUAAAGGGUGCGUAGGGGGACUGUUAAGUCAGCGGUAAAGGCCCGGGGCUAAACCCCGGAGAGCCGUUGAAGCUGGCUGUAUGGAGAUGUCGAGAGGUAUGCGGAAUGCGUAGUGUAGCGGUGAAAUGCUUAGAUAUUGCGCAGAACUCCGAUUGCGAAGGCAGCAUACCGGCGGCGAUCUGACGCUGAGGCACGAAAGCGUGGGGAUCGAACAGGAUUAGAUACCCGAGUAGUC